rnacentral:rRNA from 1 species
AACGAACGCUGGCGGCAUGCCUAACACAUGCAAGUCGAACGAGACCUUCGGGUCUAGUGGCGCACGGGUGCGUAACGCGUGGGAACCUGCCCUUAGGUUCGGAAUAACUCCCCGAAAGGGGUGCUAAUACCGGAUAAUGUCUUCGGACCAAAGAUUUAUCGCCUUUGGAUGGGCCCGCGUUGGAUUAGCUAGUUGGUAGGGUAAAAGCCUACCAAGGCGACGAUCCAUAGCUGGUCUGAGAGGAUGAUCCGCCACACUGGGACUGAGACACGGCCCAGACUCCUACGGGAGGCAGCAGUGGGGAAUAUUGGACAAUGGGCGAAAGCCUGAUCCAGCAAUGCCGCGUGAGUGAUGAAGGCCUUAGGGUUGUAAAGCUCUUUUACCCGGGAUGAUAAUGACAGUACCGGGAGAAUAAGCUCCGGCUAACUCUGUG